rnacentral:lncRNA from 1 species
UUUAAUAUUAGUGGAUUCCCGGACAAUUGUGGAAUUGUCAUACGGAAGUAAACCUAAAUUCUUUCCCCUUUUGUCCUUAGGACUUAAUUGGAUAACAUCCGUUGGACACUGUCCAUUUUUGCCUUUGUCCGCGCUAAUUCCACCGCCGGUUUUAACUCCCCAGAGUGCUGAGACAAGAUAAUACCUGUGGCUGGAGUCCACCUGGUUGCCAUAGACAUCUAAGAUAGGUUCAGAUUCUGAGGCGCCCAACUGAGGUUUUGUGGCCAAAGCAAGUAUAAGGAAGGAGAGUGUUGUUACUAAUGAAGUCUUCAUUUGUUUUUUUUUUUUUUUUGAGGAUAGCUGCUGUUUGUUUUGUGAUCAAUUCGGUAUUCCAGUGUUUGAAUUUAUAGAGAGCUAGAUUUAAUAGCUGAUAAGGUCUUUGUGGUAGCUGCUUGGAUGGUCAUGUAUUAUUGAGUCUUCCUUUUUUUCAUUUUCGUAAAUUUGUCAAUUUUUGGUCAUAUGGAAAUAUAGUAUGGGUGACACAUACAUAAG